GAACCUGAAACUUCUAAUGCUCGUCAAACUCACUUGGAUCACAAACCAGGCUUCAGCGUGAUUUCUUUCUUGUGUGGAGACAGGGACCGAGUGAGAACCUCCUGGGGUCCUCGAGGCUGGAACUCACGAAGUCGGAAGCUGCACAGACUGGUUCCCCAAGCCAGUGCACACAGCCUCCAGCAGUUUGCCCGUUUCUGUUGUGUUCUUCCCCGUGCCCGGCUUUGGCCAUCUGCUCCUGGUGCAGGCUUUACAUUACGUGGAGGUGAUACAUUACGCGUUUCCUUACCUUGGGACAGAAGAAAAGUUGAAACUCGAUCAAACUUCCUUGUUUAGCUCCCACAGUCAGGCUGUUUCCUGUGUAUA